rnacentral:rRNA from 1 species
AGUCUCCUGGAAAGGAGUGUCAUAGAGGGUGAUAACCCCGUACUUGAUGUGGACGCCCAAGGCUUUGUGAUACAUCUUCGACGAGUCGAGUUGUUUGGGAAUGCAGCUCCAAAUGGGUGGUAAAUUCCAUCUAAAGCUAAAUAUUGGGGAGAGACCGAUAGCGAACAAGUACCGUGAGGGAAAGAUGAAAAGCACUUUGGAAAGAGAGUUAAACAGUACGUGAAAUUGUCAAAAGGGAAGCACUGGAGGUUAGACGUGUGUCGUUGGAUUCAGCUUUUUCUAAAAGUGUAUUUCCGGCGGUACAGGCCAGCAUCGGUUUUCUGGGCCGGAUAAGGGGGAGAGGAACGUAGCUUUCUUCGGAAAGUGUUAUAGCCUCUUUCUUGAUACGGCUUGGGGGACCGAGGCAUGCAGCGCGCCUUUUUGGCGGACCUUCGGGUACCUUCGCGCUUAGGAUGCUGGCGUAAUGGCCUUCAGUGACCCGUCUUGAAACACGGACCAAGGAGUCUAACAUGUCUGCGAGUCUUUGGGUGGCAAACCCGUGGGCGCAAUGAAAGUGAAUGCAGGUGGGAUCCUUCGGGAGCACCAUCGACCGGUCUCGAAGCUUUAUGUGGAAGGAUCUGAGUAAGAGCAUAUAUGUUGGGACCCGAAAGAUGGUGAACUAUGCCUGAAUAGGGUGAAGCCAGAGGAAACUCUGGUGGAGGCUCGUAGCGGUUCUGACGUGCAAAUCGAUCGUCAAAUUUGGGUAUAGGGGCGAAAGACUAAUCGAACCAUUAAAAGAAGUAAAAACGUAUCAUGUAAAAAAGCAUGUCUGCUCCAACGCGGACUAUAACGUCUUGGCUG